rnacentral:rRNA from 1 species
AUACGGUGGAUCCGAGCGUUAUACGGAUUUAUUGGGUUUAAAGGGUGCGCAGGCGGCCAUUUAAGUCAGCGGUUAAAUCGUGGGGCUCAACCCCAUUCUGCCGUUGAUACUGGGUGGCUUGAUUGCGGUCGAGGCUGGCGGAAUUCGUUGGGUAGCGGUGAAAUGCAUAGAUAUGACGAAGAACACCGAUUGCGUAGGCAGCUGACCAGACCGCAAAUGACGCUCAUGCACGAAAGUGCGGGGAUCGAACAGGAUUAGAUACCCUGGUAGUCCGCACAGUAAACGAUGAAUACUUGUUUUCGGCGAUAUAAUGUCGGAGGCAAAGCGAAAGCGAUAAGUAUUCCACCUGGGGAGUACGCCGUCAACGGUGAAACUCAAAUGAAUUGACGGGG